GUGCACUGAAGCUUCGAAACUACCCCUCUUUGUUCUUCGCGUCGCUGCUCUUGUGAGCAGAGGUUUGAUAUUCAGAGUUCGGAAUUCGAAGUGGAGCAAGAUCAAGGUGUCAUAGUGGCUUAAGGAUUAAGCUUGUAUUUUAGAUAGUUGGUUUGAGAAUAGUUAUUGAUAUUUCGUUGUAUAAUAUUUGGGAAUUUUAGUUCAAUUAUUGGUGUAUUUAAGGAUA